rnacentral:lncRNA from 1 species
UUCUAUUGGGAUCAGCCAUUAAUUGACACAUAUUAGUCUAAUCCAUGACCCUUAAUUGGUGUCAUGUGGGCGCGGUCACCAUGCGGACCAUGCAACUCGUGCCAGCAGGAAAGGAAUCCACGCCAAGAAUAGCAGGAAGGGAAAGACAGCGCUAUGCAAGAAUAGAUGCCAAUAAUAGACAAUGCGCACAAAGGCAGGGAGCACUGUAAGAAAGAUCGAGGCAGGGACUGACAAAGGUCUGGCCUAGGUGCCUAUAUAGUCUUGUAAUUAAUAAUUGAACCUUGUUAGAAUCAAGCAAGAACAAUAUGUCUAUUUCUUAAUCUCAUCCACUUCAACAACAGGGUGCUGAGGGGUAAAACCUUGCUCCAACUCUACGG